UUUUUAGAUAUUUUGAAGAGAAGAGCAUCAAAAAUUAUGUAGACUUAAAUAAAGAACUGGUUAUCGAAAAAUAUUCUCAAACAACCCUCGUAGCAUUAAAUUCGAAUUUACUGCAUAUAAACUUAAAUUAAAAUUGUAAAUAAUAUCCCCUGCGGCGCGCUACUGAUCACUUCAUCCAGAAAGACUAAUUUCCCCCACUAGAAAUGCCUCUCCGCUUGACGCUUACUUGACGACCACGCCUUUUCUCGCACGAUAAAGUCUAACCCUACUGGCUGCCCCGUCGACCAAUAAAAUUCCGUUACAAUCUUGAACAAGAGGGUCUUUUUACAGGGCAAAGACAUCAAACGGUUCGCGUACGGUACAUAGCUUUCUUUUUAACCUAAAAAAAUUCGCGCAUGUCCGAAAUAGUGUUUUAAAUACUCUAAAGUGACGUGUGCAAUCUAAUUUAAACUUUUUUGGAUGAAAAAGGAGAUUUUUGGGUCUCGGCGAUCUACCCCGAUUGUGAAGGUUAGAAUAAUAUACAAAAACAGCUUAGUCGCUUCACCAAGCAUUGUUUAUUUUUUUAUUAUAACAUGGGUCGCUUGUUUUGUCUGGUUUAUAUUACUUUUGUGCCUUAGACAUAACGAAAGCCCACACACAUUUAUAUAAUCGCCGUAUAUGCAUACCUCAUUGUAUACAAGAAAAUCCUAAAUACGAGGUAUACGAGAGGUGCUUCUAAGUUUGGAUGUGGCUUCAGGUUUCCAAAAUAUUUUUCCUUAAGAUCAAUACUUUAAUCCAUGCGUUUGAACGAAGCUUUUUUUUUCAAUUUCGACAACAACCAUUUUGAAAAACUUUGAUCUGCAGGAAUAAAAAGAAACCAUUUGGUGUCAAACAAGGACAGAACGACGGAUGAUCCAUCAAUUCGAUGUUUUGACUGUUUAAUAAAGUUUCCGUUUGAAUUAAUCUAUGAGAGCCCGCAUUGUCGUCUUCUGCGAUUGGUGUCGAACACUUCUGGCAAACAAAUGCUUCGGAUGAAACUAACUGAACGUCGAAACGCACGUUUACAAUCUCGUGGUUAGCGCAUUAGGCAACAUGGACGUUCAACAGGCAGCUGAUGUUGCACUGUGGCAUACUAUAACCACUCGCAUAUUCGUCACAUGAAGAUAAUUGAUUAAAAUGGAGAAAAAUAAGAUGGUGGAUGGAGAUACAACUAGAUAAACUGAAUGUGAACCGAAUAGUGCAACCGCACGCUCCGUAUUCGACUUAGUCUCACUUAGAAACUGAUCGGAAGUUGAACGAGUCGAGGCGAGGUUGCACCAAGCAAAAAAAUGGAUUCAAGCAUUUAUUUUUAGUUCACUAUAAACCAUAAGAAGCAUAUAUGUGAGUAAAACUUGCACAUAUUUAGAAUAAGGAAUAAGAAAUAUUGUUUACGCCACUAAAUUCACUUCCGCAACAUAAAAAAUGGAAAAAAAAAACAAUAAAA